rnacentral:rRNA from 1 species
GAUGAACGCUGGCGGCGUGCUUAACACAUGCAAGUCGAGCGAAGCGGCUGAAUUGAUUCUUCGGAUGAUUUUCAGUUGACUGAGCGGCGGACGGGUGAGUAACGCGUGGGUGACCUGCCCCAUGCCGGGGGAUAACAGCUGGAAACGGCCGCUAAUACCGCAUAAGCGCACAGAGCUGCAUGGCUCAGUGUGAAAAACUCCGGUGGUAUGGGAUGGGCCCGCGUCUGAUUAGGCAGUUGGCGGGGUAACGGCCCACCAAACCGACGAUCAGCAGCCGGCCUGAGAGGGCGACCGGCCACAUUGGGACUGAGACACGGCCCAAACUCCUACGGGAGGCAGCAGUGGGGAAUAUUGCACAAUGGGGGAAACCCUGAUGCAGCGACGCCGCGUGAGCGAAGAGGUAUUUCGGUAUGUAAAGCUCUAUCAGCAGGGAAGAUAAUGACGGUAC